AACGAACGCUGGCGGCGUGCCUAACACAUGCAAGUCGAACGAGAAAGGGGCUUCGGCUCCGAGUAAAGUGGCGCACGGGUGAGUAACACGUGGGUAACCUGCCUCUAAGAUUGGGAUAACUCGUCGAAAGAUGAGCUAAUACCGGAUAAGACCACAGUUCCCGCGGGAACAGGGGUCAAAGGUAGCCUCUGCUUGCAAGCUAUCACUUAGAGAUGGGCCUGCGCACCAUUAGCUAGUUGGUAGGGUAACGGCCUACCAAGGCAAAGAUGGUUAGCUGGGCUGGGAGGAUGAUCAGCCACACUGGAACUGAGACACGGUCCAGACUCCUACGGGAGGCAGCAGUGGGGAAUAUUGCGCAAUGGGCGAAAGCUUGACGAAGCAACGCCGCGUGAGUGAUGAAGGCCUUCGGGUCGUAAAGCUCUGUCGGGAGGAACGAAUGCUCCCAAGGUUAACAGCCUCGGGAGGUGACGGUACCUUCAAAGGAAGCACCGGCUAACUCUGUGCCAGCCGCCGCCGUAAGAC
rnacentral:rRNA from 1 species